UAAGGAAUAUUGGUCAAUGGGCGCAAGCCUGAACCAGCCAUGCCGCGUGCAGGAAGACAGCCCUACGGGUCGUAAACUGCUUUUAUUGGGGAAUAACCCUUUCUACGUGUAGGAAGUUGAAUGUACCCAAGGAAUAAGGAUCGGCUAACUCCGUGCCAGCAGCCGCGGUAAUACGGAGGAUCCAAGCGUUAUCCGGAUUUAUUGGGUUUAAAGGGUGCGUAGGCGGCCUAUUAAGUCAGGGGUGAAAGACGGUGGCUCAACCAUCGCAGUGCCUUUGAUACUGAUAGGCUUGAUUACACUAGAGGUAGGCGGAAUGUGACAAGUAGCGGUGAAAUGCAUAGAUAUGUCACAGAACACCAAUUGCGAAGGCAGCUUACUAUGGUGUCAAUGACGCUGAGGCACGAAAGCGUGGGGAUCAAACAG
rnacentral:rRNA from 1 species